GUGGGGGAUAUUGCACAAUGGGCGAAAGCCUGAUGCAGCAACGCCGCGUGAGGGAAGAAGGUUUUCGGAUUGUAAACCUCUGUCCAAAGGGAAGAAACAAAUGACGGUACCUUUGGAGGAAGCUCCGGCUAACUACGUGCCAGCAGCCGCGGUAAUACGUAGGGAGCAAGCGUUGUCCGGAUUUACUGGGUGUAAAGGGUGCGUAGGCGGCCGUAAGGGUCAGACGUGAAAUAUGUGGGCUUAACUCACAGACUGCGUUUGAAACUAUAUGGCUUGAGUGAAGUAGAGGCAGGCGGAAUUCCCUGUGUAGCGGUGAAAUGCGUAGAGAUAGGGAGGAACACCAGUGGCGAAGGCGGCCUGCUGGGCUUUAACUGACGCUGAGGCACGAAAGCGUGGGUAGCAAACAGGAUUAGAAACCCUAGUAGUCC
rnacentral:rRNA from 1 species